AGAAGGGCGAGCCCUUUGUUUACGCCACCGGCAGCACCGCUCUCUUAAGCCUCUUUCUUCUUAACGGCAGCAUCAAGCAGCGGCUGGGCCCUGCCCUCUCCGGCGCCUGGUGAGAUCUGAUCUCCUUCAUUCGCAGCAGCGGCGAGAUGUAUCUCUCACCGGUGGCUUCAAAAUGACAGCCGGAGCUUCUUCCAGCGGAGUCAAUGGCGGACACAGCAACUAGGUCUUCUCUGCUCCUUUCAGUAGUCGGCGACCAAGAGGCUCAGGGAACUGGCCAGAAAGGAAAGAAGAGGAAUGCAUCUCAGAAAAGUGAAGAGACUGCUGCUUCUUCCCGGAAAAUGCCAAAACGGGCUGCUGCCUGUUUGGAUUUUAAAGAGAAAUCUAUUUGUAUAUCAACAAAAUCUUCUGUAGUUGAGAAGAAAAAGGACCCUAUUGUAGAUGAAGAAGCUGUAGCUGUGAGACUAACUGCUGGACAUGAGGAUGGUCGACCAUGUAGAAGACUCGCAGAUUUCAUAUUUCAUGAUUCAAAUGGAGUCCCCCAGCCCUUUGAAAUGUUGGAGAUUGAUGAUAUUUUCAUUUCUGGGCUUGUUUUGCCACUUGAUGGAAGUUCUGAAAAAGACAAGGAAGCUGGUGUCAGAUGUGAGGGUAUUGGGCGGAUAGAAUGUUGGGCAAUCUCCGGUUAUGAAGAUGGGUCCCCUGUGAUUUGGGUGUCAACUGACAUUGCUGAUUAUGAUUGCAUCAAACCGGCAGGUAGUUAUAAGAAGUUUUAUGAUCAUUUCUUUGCCAAGGCUGUUGCCUGCAUCGAAGUUUGCAAGAAACUGUCAAAGUCCUCUGGAGGAAACCCUGACAUAAGCCUUGAUGAAUUGCUUGCUGGGGUUGUCCGCGUAUUAAAUGGAAAGAAAUGCUUUUCUCGUGGGGUCCCUAUCAAGGAUUUUGUUGUUUCCCAGGGUGAGUUCAUAUAUAACCAACUAGUGGGUUUAGAUGAGACUCGAGGCAAGAAUGAUCAGCUAUUUGCAGAGAUGCCUGUCCUUGCUGCCCUUAGAGAUGAGAGUAGCAAGCAUGCAAAUUUUGCACAAGCAAAAGGAUCAUCAUCUGGUGGGAGUGUAAGGAUUGGUUCAGAGUCUAGUAGUGGAGUUGGUCCACAAAAUCAAUAUGGCUAUUCUAAUUCUGCAGCAGACGAAGAUGAAGAUGUGAAACUGGCAAGGCUAUUACAGGAAGAAGAAUACUGGACUUCAAUGAAACAGAAAAAAGGUCAGGGUUCUAUCUCUUCAUCGAACAAAUUCUACAUAAAGAUCAACGAGGAUGAAAUUGCAAAUGAUUAUCCUUUGCCGGCAUACUACAGAACUUCAAAUGAAGAGACUGAUGAGUAUAUAGUCUUUGACAGUGACACUGAUAUUUGUAAUCCUGAUGAACUGCCUAGAUCGAUGCUGCACAACUGGUCCCUCUACAAUUCAGACUCACGAUUGAUUUCAUUGGAGCUUCUUCCAAUGAAACCUUGUGCAGAUAUUGAUGUAACCAUAUUUGGUUCAGGAGUGAUGACUGCUGAUGAUGGAACUGGGUUCUGCCUUGACACUGACUCUAGUUAUUCUUCCUCAAGUGGUUCAGGGACAACUGAUGUAGCUGGAAUUCCAAUAUAUUUGAGUGCAAUAAAAGAAUGGAUGAUUGAAUUUGGAUCCUCAAUGAUUUUCAUAUCGAUCCGGACAGAUAUGGCCUGGUAUAGGCUAGGAAAGCCAUCAAAACAAUAUGCUCCAUGGUAUGAACCAGUUCUAAAAACGGCAAAGCUUGCAAUAAGCAUAAUUACUUUGCUGAAAGAACAGACCCGAGUGUCCCGUCUUUCUUUUGCAGAUGUCAUCAAAAGAGUGUCUGAUUUUGAAAAGGACCAUCCUGCUUACAUAUCAUCCAAUCCAGUUCUUGUAGAGAGGUAUGUAGUUGUACAUGGGCAGAUAAUACUGCAACAAUUUGCAGAAUUUCCAGAUGCGAAGAUUAAAAAGUGUGCAUUUGUGGUUGGUUUGACCAAAAAAAUGGAAGAGAGGCACCACACUAAAUGGAUAGUGAAGAAGAAAAAGGUUGUCCAGAGGAAUGAACUAAACCUAAAUCCCAGAGGAGCAAUGACGCCUACCAUGUCUAAGAGAAAGGUUAUGCAGGCAACUACAACAAAAUUAAUCAAUAGAAUCUGGGGUGAGUACUACUCAAAUUACUCACCAGAAGAUUCAAAAGAGGGAAUCAACUGCCAAGUGAAUGAUGAAGAGGCAGUUGAAGAGCAAGAGGAAAGUGAAGGGGAUGAUGCUGAGGAGGGAACAUUAUUAAUGGCAUCAAAGGAAACCCCAACUCCUAGUUCAGCAUCAAGGAAAAUUAAAUCAAAUUCAAGGAGAGAUGAAAUUAGAUGGGAAGGAGGGUCAGUUGGCAAAACAUCUUUGGGUGAAGUUCUAUAUAGACAAGCAGAAGUUCGUGGCGAUGUAAUUGUUGUUGGAGAUGCUGUCUUGGUAGACUCUGAAGAGUAUUGCCAUUCUUCCAUUUAUCUUGUAGAGUACAUGUUUGAAACAUUGGAUCAAAGCAAAAUGUUUCAUGGAAGAGUGAUGCAACAUGGAUUCUACACUGUCCUUGGAAAUGCGGCAAAUGAGAGGGAGGUAUUUAUGACAAAUGAGUGCAUUGAAUUUGAAUUGGCUGACAUCAAACAAAAGGUGGUUAUGAAUAAACGAUUAAUUUCUUGGGGACAUCAGCACAGGAAAGCUAAUAUUGAUGCUGAUAAAAUUGAUAGAGCAAGAGCUGAAGAGAGAAAGAGGAAAGGAUUGGAAAUUGAAUAUUACUGUAAAAGCUUGUAUUGGCCUGAGAGAGGUGCUUUCUUUAAUCUUCCCCUUAGCACCAUGGGUCUUGGUUCUGGUGUCUGCAGCUCUUGCAAAUUAAGAAAAGAUCAGAGUGAGAAGGAAAGUUUUAAAGUCAACGCGUCUAAGACCAGUAUAUUCUAUAAGGGAAUUGAGUAUGCCAUUCAUGAUUUUGUCUACAUAAGCCCACAUCAGUUUGCUGCAGAAAGAGUGGAGACUGAUACCUUCAAAGGUGGUAGAAAUGUGGGUUUGAAAGCUUAUGUUGUGUGUCAGUUGCUUCAAAUUCUUGUUCCUAAAACAGUUAAACAAGCUGAUGCCAGAUCUACUGAGAUUAAGGUCAGACGGUUUUUCAGACCAGAUGACAUCUCAGCUGAGAGAGCGUAUUGUUCUGAUAUUAGAGAGGUAUAUUAUAGUGAAGAAACAGAGUUUUUGUCUGCUGAGACAAUAGAGGGGAAAUGUGAAAUCAGAAAGAAGAUUGAUCUUCUAUCCAAUGUCCCUUCACUCUUUGAACAUGUUUUCUUUUGUGAAUAUUUCUAUGAUCCUUCAAGGGGGUCGCUCAAGCAGUUGCCUUCUGACGUCAAAUUAAAGUACUCAACAGGGAAAAUUGAUGAUGAUGCCACUUCUAGGGAAAAAAAGGGAAAGCGUAAAGAAGGGGAAGAUGAUCUAGAAACUGUCAGGCAGAAAGAACUGUCUCAGGAUGGCUUGGCAACUCUAGACAUUUUUGCUGGCUGUGGGGGCUUGUCAGAGGGACUGCAGCAGUCUGGUGCCUCAGUUACCAAAUGGGCAAUCGAGUAUGAAGAGGCUGCAGGGGAUGCAUUUAAACUCAAUCAUCCGGGGUCGCUAGUGUUCACCAAUAACUGCAAUGUGAUUUUAAGGGCUAUAAUGGAGAAGUGUGGGGAUGUGGAUGACUGUGUUUCAACCCCUGAGGCUGCUGAGUUAGCUGCAUCACUUGAGAAGGAGCUUGAUAAUUUGCCACUGCCAGGACAAGUUGAUUUUAUCAACGGAGGCCCUCCCUGUCAGGGUUUCUCUGGAAUGAACAGGUUUAACCAAAGCACCUGGAGUAAAGUUCAGUGCGAGAUGAUUUUAGCAUUCUUGUCCUUUGCCGAUUAUUUUCGGCCAAAGUUUUUCCUUCUUGAGAAUGUGAGGAACUUUGUCUCCUUCAAUAAAGGUCAGACGUUUCGUCUAACUGUAGCUUCACUUCUGGAGAUGGGAUACCAGGUGAGGUUUGGCAUCCUUGAGGCUGGAGCAUAUGGAGUUUCUCAGUCUAGGAAGCGAGCAUUUAUUUGGGCGGCAUCUCCGGAAGAGAUUCUGCCAGAAUGGCCAGAGCCAAUGCAUGCGUUUGCUAUUCCGGAGUUAAGAAUAACAUUGUCAGAAAAUGUUCAGUAUGCUGCCGUGCGAAGUACUGCUACAGGAGCCCCAUUCCGUUCAAUAACUGUUAGAGAUACCAUUGGAGAUCUCCCAAUGGUUGACAAUGGAGCAUCGAAGACAAAUCUGGAGUACCAAAAUGACCCUGUCUCGUGGUUCCAAAAGAAAAUUCGAGGCAAUUCAUCCGUCUUGUCUGAUCAUAUUGCAAAAGAAAUGAAUGAGCUGAAUCUCAUUCGGUGUCAGAGAAUUCCUAAGCGUCCUGGUGCUGAUUGGCAUGACCUUCCAGAUGAAAAGGUUAAACUGUCAACUGGGCAAGUGGUUGAUCUGAUACCAUGGUGCCUACCAAAUACCGCUAAGAGGCACAACCAGUGGAAGGGACUAUUUGGACGCUUGGAUUGGGAAGGCAACUUCCCAACUUCCAUCACAGACCCUCAGCCGAUGGGUAAGGUGGGAAUGUGUUUUCACCCUCAGCAGGAUCGUAUUGUUACUGUUCGUGAAUGUGCUCGUUCUCAAAUGACGAUGGAGAGGCUGGUGAGAGGAGAGGAUGACAACGAGAAGAGCUAAACCAUAACCAGCAGCAGUGGCGAUCGAUGUUCUCUCUGCAGUGAAUCCAACAAUCGGGUUGGAUCAACACUUUGGGUCCUGGGUCUUAAGAUGAGGCAAAAGGGUUUCUCAACCCGGGUCAGUCAGGUUCUGGUGACAGUUUCGCCACCGAGGUCGCAGCGUCCAGCAAAGGGUGGGUGGGUUGCUGAUGGGUCGCCUGUGAUGGGUGGGUUGUUUGGUGUUCGGGUCCGUUCGACUGAAUGGGUUGGGUUGGGUUCCUCCUUCACAGGGUUUCCCAGACAGUUACCAGUUUGCUGGUAACAUUUUACACAAGCACAGGCAGAUUGGGAAUGCCGUUCCUCCCCCUCUGGCAUUUGCACUAGGCAGGAAACUCAAAGAAGCUAUGAGUAAGAAGAGCAACUAGCAUUUACAGAAAAAAAAGAAGAGCAACUAGCAAUGUUCUGUUGUUCAUUGUCUUGCAGCUGCUAUCAAACCUAGCAGAUGCUUAUUUUAUCUCUUCCCAUUAAGUUGUUCAUAUAGAGAUUAUCAAGAGCAAAAUAUGCAAUGUAUCUUUUCAUCGAUUUGCAACAAUUGGAUUGGAAGGUUAUUAGCAUUUUGAAGUUGCAUUGAUGAUGAGAUUCCAUUGGUGGUGAUUCAACCAUCACUUUGUGUA